GGCCGUCUUACAGCCACAGAUGAAUCUUGCCAGGUACCAGUCUGAAGCACCAAUAUGUCCCCCGUGCCACUGCAAGAAGUUUCUGAAGUUUCCUUUUGUGCAAAUAGCUGUCAUCGUGCAACAGUUAUGUUUUGGAUGCCAAGAGGAUGAGCCCCCAGACCUUUCCAGAGCCUGAGAUCAUGCUGCUAGGAGUCAGAGGUCUGGGAACCAGGCUCAGUUUGUCAAGACUGAGGCCAAAAAGUCAU